GUGGGCUUUUGGAGCUGCUAGAUUAACCGCCAGAACAGCAGAAUAACUUCUAGCUUGCUACCGCGGUCACCUGUUUUGGACUGGCAGGGGGUCUGAUUGUAAAAGAAACUGUCUGGAGAAUAAUCCCAAAACUAAUAAUGAACCAACAGGUGAAGCAAAUUAACUGGCGUGGAGUGAAUGGGAAGUAUGGCUUUGAACCACUUGCCAUUAAAGAUGUUGUCCUCAAAUCUACAAAGAAAUGCAAGUACUGCCAGUGCGUCGGACGGCGACAUUGAAAAGUUCAUAAAAAGAUGGCUGCAGCUUGCAUCUGACAAUGAUGUGGGAAGAAGAGAGCGGGCCCUAAAGCAAGCAAAUUCUUUCUAAGGUAUGUUCCAAAUGUUGUUACCAUUUACCAGAGUUACCAUUUAUGUCUUCAGUCUGAGAUUUCUGAGAUCUAUCUGACUAACGAACCAUAUGUGUCAUUGUCUGUGCCCUCUCUUAUCUCUCUCUUUCUGUCAAUCUGGUCCUGAGAUUUUCUAGUUUUUUGUUUUGCAUUUGUUCAUGCCAGUUUUUGCUAGUUCAUAUAAAGCUGUAUGUUAAUGUAAGGGUUCAA